AAAGUGCGAUAAGCAAUGCGAAUUGCAGAAUUCCGCGAAUCAUCAGAUCCUUGAACGCAACUGGCGCUAGGGGUGCAGCCCCCUAGUAUGCCUGUUUCAGUGUCUGAAAACAUCACAACUUAUCAUAAUGUGGUUGACAAGGUUUGGUUCUUUACCAACCCAAGUCUCCCAUGAAAGAUGUGUGUGUGGGUCUUUGGGCCUCACAUCGAAUUGGUCACUGUCUCAUCAGUGAUUUCGAUCUGGGCUUUUCACAAUUACCUGAAUACAUACAGAACUUAAUCACCAUCAUCAAACUCUGCAUCUGAAAUCAGGCAAGAUCACCCGCUGAACUUAA
rnacentral:misc_RNA from 1 species